GAUGAACGCUAGCGGCAGGCUUAAUACAUGCAAGUCGAGGGGUAGCAAGAUUGUAGCAAUACAAUUGUUGACGACCGGCAAACGGGUGCGGAACACGUACACAACCUUCCUACAAGUGGGGAAUAGCCCAGAGAAAUUUGGAUUAAUACCCUGUAACAUAGCGAUGUGGCAUCACAUUGCUAUUAUAGCUUCGGCGCUUGUUGAUGGGUGUGCGGCUGAUUAGAUAGUUGGCGGGGUAACGGCCCACCAAGUCUACGAUCAGUAGCGGAUGUGAGAGCAUGAUCCACCACACGGGCACUGAGAGACGGGCCCGACUCCUACGGGGGGCAGCAGUAAGGAUUAUUGGACAAUGGACGCAAGUCUGAUACAGCCGUGCGGCGUGCAGGAUUAAGGUCCUCUCGAUUGUAAACUUCUUUCAUAGGGGACGAAAAAAGGUCUUUCUAGAUCGUCUGACGGUACCUUAUGAAUAAGCACCGGCUAACUCCGAGCCAGCCGCCGCCGUAAGAC
rnacentral:rRNA from 1 species